UGAGACAGUGGGGGAUAAGCUUCAUUGUCGAGAGGGAAACAGCCCAGACCACCAACUAAGGCCCCUAAGCGUGUGCUAAGUGGGAAAGGAUGUGGAGUUGCUUAGACAACCAGGAUGUUGGCUUAGAAGCAGCCAUCAUUUAAAGAAAGCGUAAUAGCUCACUAGUCGAGUCGGCCUGCGCGGAAGAUGUAACGGGGCUAAGCAAUAUACCGAAGCUGCGGCAG
rnacentral:rRNA from 12 species